rnacentral:rRNA from 1 species
CACAUGACUCUCGGCAACGGAUAUCUCGGCUCUCGCAUCGAUGAAGAACGUAGCGAAAUGCGAUACCUGGUGUGAAUUGCAGAAUCCCGCGAACCAUCGAGUCUUUGAACGCAAGUUGCGCCCGAGGCCACUUGGCCGAGGGCACGCCUGCCUGGGAGUCACGC